ACGUACACUCCUACGGGAGGCAGCAGUGGGGAAUAUUGCACAAUGGGCGCAAGCCUGAUGCAGCCAUGCCGCGUGUAUGAAGAAGGCCUUCGGGUUGUAAAGUACUUUCAGCGGGGAGGAAGGUGUUGAGGUUAAUAACCUCAGCAAUUGACGUUACCCGCAGAAGAAGCACCGGCUAACUCCGUGCCAGCAGCCGCGGUAAUACGGAGGGUGCAAGCGUUAAUCGGAAUUACUGGGCGUAAAGCGCACGCAGGCGGUCUGUCAAGUCGGAUGUGAAAUCCCCGGGCUCAACCUGGGAACUGCAUUCGAAACUGGCAGGCUAGAGUCUUGUAGAGGGGGGUAGAAUUCCAGGUGUAGCGGUGAAAUGCGUAGAGAUCUGGAGGAAUACCGGUGGCGAAGGCGGUCCCCUGGACAAAGACUGACGCUCAGGUGCGAAAGCGUGGGGAGCAAACAGGAUUAGAAACCCGUGUAGUCC
rnacentral:rRNA from 1 species